UACGGGGGGAGCAAGCGUUGUUCGGAUUUACUGGGCGUAAAGGGCGCGUAGGCGGCCAGCACAAGUCAGUUGUGAAAUCUCCGAGCUUAACUCGGAACGGUCAACUGAUACUGUGCGGCUAGAGUGCAGAAGGGGCAACUGGAAUUCUUGGUGUAGCGGUGAAAUGCGUAGAUAUCAAGAGGAACACCGGUGGCGAAGGCGGGUCUCUGGGCCGUAACUGACGCUGAGGAGCGAAAGCGUGGGGAGCAAACAGG
rnacentral:rRNA from 1 species